rnacentral:RNase_MRP_RNA from 1 species
UGCGGGGCCUCAGGCUUGUUAGUCAUAGCAAAGUCAUGCGCUCGGCGCCGGCGCGUGGGCCAGUCCCCGCGUCGGCGCUAACUCAACGGGGCUUACUCUCGCG